UUACAAUUUCCACUAUCAACAUUACACUUCUUGUAAUUAUAGCAAUCUCAAGUCUAUCAGUCUAUGCCAUCCUUGGCUCAGGAUGAGCAUCUAAUUCCAAAUAUGCACUAAUUGGGGCUCUUCGAGCCGUAGCACAAACUAUUUCCUACGAAGUAAGCCUAGGUUUAAUCCUACUAUGCCUAGUUAUCCUAACAGGAAGUUUUUCUCUACAAGCUUUUAUUUAUACCCAAGAACAUACCUGAUUCUUACUCUCAAGUUGGCCUUUAGCAGCAAUAUGAUUUGUUUCUACUUUAGCAGAAACAAAUCGAACUCCAUUUGAUUUAACUGAAGGAGAGUCAGAACUAGUUUCUGGCUUUAACGUAGAAUAUGCCGGAGGGCCAUUCGCCUUAUUUUUUCUAGCUGAAUACUCUAACAUUUUAUUCAUAAACACUCUAACAGCAAUUAUAUUCCUUGGGCCCCUAGGAUCAAACAAUUUAAAUAUUUUACCAAUUAUUAAUAUUAUAAUAAAAGCCACUCCACUUAUCAUUUUAUUCUUAUGAAUCCGAGCCUCCUACCCACGAUUCCGAUAUGAUCAACUUAUACACCUUAUAUGAAAAAAUUUCCUACCCCUUAAUCUAGCUCUCUUUACUCUUCAACUAUCCCUUGCUGUGUCAUUUGGAGGCGCUGGAGUCCCCCAAAUAUAAAACACAACCAAUUAAAUUUAAGUGGAAGUAUGUCCGACAAUAGGAACCACUUUGAUAGAGUGGCUACAGGGGAUAUUACCCCCUUUCUUCCUUAUUAGUAUGAAAGGAUUCGAACCUUAAUCUGAGAGACCAAAACCCUCCGUGUUUCCAUUACACCACAUCCUAGGUAAGAUAAGCUAAAUAAAGCUUUUGGGCCCAUACCCCAAAUAUGAUGCUCAUAACAUCUCUUACUAUAUGUUAUCCCCCUUAAUUCAGUCUACACUGCUAAUAACACUAGGUCUUGGUACACUUGUAACAUUCUCAAGUACAAGCUGAAUUCUAGCUUGAAUCGGGUUAGAAAUUAACACAAUUGCCAUUAUCCCACUGAUAGCUAAAACACACCAUCCACGUUCAAUUGAAGCAACAACAAAAUACUUCAUUGCUCAAAGUGCAGGCUCUGCCACACUUCUUAUUACCGCCUGUUUAACUGCUUGAUACUCAGGAAACUGAGCAAUCAGCCCAUCAAACGACCCAAUUAUUCUUAAUGCUAUAACUCUUGCCCUAAUACUAAAACUAGGUAUAGCACCAAUACAUUUCUGACUCCCAGAAGUAAUAGUAGGUCUAGAUUUUAUUACCGGCAUAAUUCUAGCAACUUGACAAAAAUUAGCCCCAAUCACCCUUCUUAUUCAAAUUGCACAAGAUCAGAACAACAUAUUCAUCCUUAUCCCAGCCCUACUCUCAGUAUUCGUUGGUGGUUGGGGGGGUUUAAACCAAACUCAAACACGAAAAAUUUUAGCCUACUCAUCAAUUGCACAUAUAGGUUGAAUUACUAGUAUAGCCCCAUUUAACCCAACAAUCACCUGAUUAACAACAUUAAUCUACUGCUUAAUUACAAGUGCAACAUUUAUUAAUCUUCACAUUUUAAAAGCUAAUAAAAUUACAGCACUAACCAUAAAUAAGCAUAACCAAGUCUCUCAAAUACUUCUAUUACUUCUUCUACUUUCUCUAGGGGGCCUUCCUCCACUUACAGGAUUUAUUAAUAAACUUCUAACAUCAAUUGAGCUUGCCAAUCAGAAUCUUAUUAUUUAUCUUUUUAUAAUAAUGAUAGGCUCAUUACUAAGCUUAUUUUUUUAUACUCGAAUAUGUUAUUUAUCAAUUAUUUUAUCACCUCCAUGCUCAACAACUAAUCUUAUUCUUUGACGUGUAGUCUCAAAUAAACCUAUAACCCUUAUUACAAUACUAUCAACCAACCUGUUUAUUAUAACCCCACAAUUAUUAGCAGUCUUUACCCUGCACUAGAAAUUUAAGUUAUUUAGACUCUAAGCCUUCAAAGCUUACAGUAAGGGACACAACCCUUAAUUUCUGACUAAAAUUUGCAAGAUAUCCUCACAUCUUCUGAACGCAAAUCAGAUGCUUUAAAUUAAGCUAAAAUUUUUAUCUAGACCAGCAAGCAUUAUACUUACAACCUCUUAGUUAACAGCUAAGCGCUAAUUUUAGCUUUGAUCUAUAGACCUCAACAGAACUGCUUCUAUAUCUUCAGAUUUGCAAUCUAACAUGAACUUCACCAUAAGGUCAGUCUUGAUAGGAAGAGAAAUCUAAUCUCUGUAAGCGGGUCUACAGCCCACCACCUAAACACUCGGCCAUCCUACCAGUGACUCACAUUCGUUGAUUAUUCUCUACUAAUCACAAAGACAUCGGCACCCUAUAUCUAAUUUUCGGGGCCUGAGCAGGAAUAGUAGGAACUGCUUUAAGUAUUCUAAUUCGAGCUGAACUAAGUCAGCCAGGCACUUUAUUAGGAGACGACCAAAUUUUUAAUGUUAUCGUAACUGCCCAUGCCUUCGUCAUAAUCUUUUUUAUAGUUAUACCAAUUAUAAUUGGAGGCUUUGGCAACUGACUUGUACCACUAAUACUUGGUGCUCCUGAUAUGGCCUUCCCUCGUAUAAACAACAUAAGUUUUUGACUACUUCCGCCCUCUUUACUUUUACUCUUAGCCUCUGCAGGAGUUGAAGCUGGGGCAGGAACAGGAUGAACUGUAUAUCCUCCCUUAGCCGGAAACCUAGCCCACACCGGGGCCUCUGUCGACCUAACAAUCUUUUCCUUACACUUAGCCGGAGUUUCAUCAAUUCUAGGAGCAGUUAAUUUCAUCACAACUAUUUUUAACAUGAAACCCCCAACUAUGACUCAAUACCAAACCCCCUUAUUUGUUUGAUCAGUCUUAAUCACUGCAGUUCUUCUUCUUCUAUCUCUACCAGUACUAGCAGCUGCUAUCACAAUACUUCUAACAGAUCGUAACUUAAAUACAUCCUUCUUCGACCCUGCAGGAGGAGGAGACCCCAUUCUUUACCAACACUUAUUUUGAUUCUUCGGACACCCUGAAGUUUAUAUUCUAAUUCUUCCAGGCUUCGGAAUUAUUUCACACGUAGUUGCUUAUUAUGCUGGGAAAAAAGAACCAUUCGGAUAUAUAGGAAUAGUUUGAGCAAUAAUAGCCAUUGGACUACUAGGAUUUAUUGUUUGAGCUCAUCACAUAUUUACAGUAGGAAUAGACGUUGAUACACGAGCCUAUUUUACAUCAGCCACAAUAAUUAUUGCUAUCCCAACAGGAGUCAAAGUCUUCAGUUGAUUAGCCACUCUUCAUGGAGGAAAAAUCGUAUGACAUACCCCUAUAUUAUGAGCCCUAGGUUUUAUUUUCUUAUUUACUGUAGGAGGACUCACAGGAAUUGUUUUAUCAAAUUCAUCACUAGACAUUAUUCUUCAUGACACUUACUAUGUUGUAGCCCAUUUCCAUUAUGUUCUAUCUAUAGGAGCUGUUUUCGCAAUUAUAGCAGGAUUUGUCCACUGAUUCCCACUAUUUACAGGAUAUACACUUAACGAAACCUGAGCAAAAGCUCAUUUCAUUAUUAUGUUUGCUGGUGUUAAUCUUACAUUCUUCCCUCAACACUUCCUAGGUCUAGCUGGAAUACCACGACGUUACUCAGACUACCCAGAUGCUUAUACUACAUGAAAUAUUAUUUCCUCAAUUGGGUCAACAGUCUCACUAAUCGCUGUUAUACUAUUCAUAUUUAUUUUAUGAGAAGCUUUCUCUGCUAAACGUAAAGCUAUUGCUACAGAUCUUCUCAAUACUAACCUUGAAUGACUUCAUGGCUGCCCACCUCCCUAUCAUACUUAUGAAGAACCAGCCUUUGUUCAAACCAACUUCAAGAAAAGAGGGAUUCGAACCCCCCUACGCUGGUUUCAAGCCAGGUGCAUAACCACAUCUGCCAUUUUCUUAAGAUACUAGUAAAAUUAUUACACUACCUUGUCAAGGUAAUAUUAUGAGCUUCCUACUCAUGUAUCUUGCUUAUGGCACAACAAGCUCAACUAGGACUUCAAGAUGCAGCCUCCCCUAUUAUAGAAGAACUCAUUCACUUCCACGACCAUACCCUGACAGUUGUAUUCUUAAUUAGUGUAUUAAUUUUUUACCUCAUUAUUGUGAUAGUUACUACCACAUUUAUAAAUAAACACUCUCUUGACUCUCAAGAAGUAGAAAUUGUAUGAACAGUUAUACCAGCUAUUGUCCUCAUUACAAUUGCCCUCCCCUCCCUACGGAUCCUUUACCUUACUGACGAAAUUAGCAAUCCACAUUUAACUAUUAAAGCAGUAGGCCACCAAUGAUAUUGAUCCUAUGAAUAUACUGACUAUCACCAAAUAGAAUUUGACUCUUACAUAAUCCCAACAAAUGAACUUGAACCCGGUGGAAUUCGUCUCUUAGACGUUGACCAUCGUAUUGUAGUACCAAUAGAAUCCCCAGUCCGAAUAUUAAUUACAUCUGAAGAUGUAAUCCACUCCUGAACUAUUCCAUCCUUAGGUACUAAAGUAGAUGCAGUCCCAGGCCGACUAAACCAAGCAACAUUUAUUACAACCCGACCAGGUUUGUUCUUUGGUCAAUGCUCAGAAAUCUGUGGCGCAAAUCAUAGUUUUAUACCAAUCGCAUUAGAAGCUGUCCCUCUCUCAAACUUCGAGAAUUGAACUACUAAAGUACUAGCAUCCUAAUAUAUUAUCACUAAGAAGCUAACUUAGCAUCAGCCUUUUAAGCUGAAGAUGGGCGAAUACCUUCUCCCUUAGUGAUAUGCCACAACUCGAUCCUGCCCCUUGAUUCUCUAUACUUACAGUAUCAUGACUAAUUAUUUUUCUCUUAAUUAUACCAACUAUCUUAUUUUAUCAACCACAAAACACCAUCUCUACUAAACAAGUUACUAAACCCAAACAAUCCACUUGAACCUGACCAUGACACUAGAUAUCUUUGACCAAUUUACCUCCCCAACAAUAUUUGGGCUUCCACUAGCCUGAUUAGCUAUACUAGCCCCUAGCUUAAUAUUAGUUUCACAAACACCAAAAUUUAUCAAAUCUCGUUAUCACACACUACUUACACCCAUCCUAACAUCUAUUGCCAAACAACUCUUUCUUCCAAUAAACCAACAAGGCCAUAAAUGAGCCUUAAUUUGUAUAGCCUCUAUAAUAUUUAUCUUAAUAAUUAAUCUUUUAGGAUUAUUACCAUAUACUUAUACACCAACUACCCAAUUAUCAAUAAACAUAGGAUUAGCAGUGCCACUAUGACUAGCUACUGUCCUCAUUGGGUUACAAAAAAAACCAACAGAAGCCCUAGCCCACUUAUUACCAGAAGGUACCCCAGCAGCACUCAUUCCCAUAUUAAUUAUCAUUGAAACUAUUAGUCUUUUUAUCCGACCUAUCGCCCUAGGAGUCCGACUAACCGCUAAUUUAACAGCUGGUCACUUACUUAUACAACUAGUUUCUAUAACAACCUUUGUAAUAAUUCCUGUCAUUUCAAUUUCAAUUAUUACCUCACUACUUCUUCUAUUACUAACAAUUCUGGAGUUAGCUGUUGCUGUAAUCCAGGCAUAUGUAUUUAUUCUACUUUUAACUCUUUAUCUGCAAGAAAACGUUUAUGUCCCACCAAGCUCAUGCAUACCACAUGGUAGACCCAAGCCCCUGACCUCUAACCGGUGCUGGCGCCGCAUUAUUAAUAACCUCUGGCCUAGCCAUAUGAUUUCAUAAAAACUCCUGUAUCUUAAUAACACUUGGUCUAAUCCUUAUACUUCUUACAAUAUAUCAAUGAUGACGAGACAUUGUUCGAGAAGGCACCUUCCUUGGCCAUCACACUUCACCAGUCCAACAAGGCCUUCGCUACGGAAUAAUCCUAUUUAUUAUUUCAGAAGUUUGCUUUUUCGCAGGUUUCUUCUGAGCUUUCUAUCAUGCCAGUCUUGCACCAACCCCAGAACUUGGCUUAACAUGACCCCCAACAGGAAUUAACCCUCUAAACCCAUUUGAAGUUCCACUAUUGAAUACAGCUGUUUUACUUGCCUCAGGAGUUUCAGUAACUUGGGCCCAUCACAGCAUUACUGAAAAAAAUCGAACAGAAACAACCCAAGCCCUAACUUUAACAGUUUUACUAGGACUUUAUUUUACUGCUCUGCAAAUUAUAGAAUACUAUGAAACCCCCUUUACAAUAGCAGAUGGCGUAUACGGUUCAACAUUCUUUGUCGCCACAGGCUUUCACGGACUACAUGUUAUUAUUGGCUCCCUAUUCCUACUUACAUGCUUACUACGACACUUACAAUAUCACUUCACCUCUAAACACCACUUCGGCUUCGAAGCCGCCGCUUGAUACUGACACUUUGUAGACGUUGUUUGAUUAUUCCUAUAUAUUUCAAUCUACUGAUGAGGCUCUUAACUCAGCCUGCCUUUUUAAUACAUUUAAUAUAGUUGGCUUCCAACCAACCAAACCUGGUAUAAAUCCAAGAAAAGGCACAUGAACUCCUUUAUAGUUAUAAUUAUACUAACUCUAACCCUCUCAUCUAUUAUAGCUCUUCUAGCAUUUUGAUUACCGAUUAUGAAACCAGACAGUGAAAAACUCUCUCCAUACGAAUGCGGCUUCGACCCACAAGGAUCAGCCCGUCUACCCUUCUCUCUUCGAUUCUUCUUAGUAGCAAUCCUAUUCUUAUUGUUCGACUUAGAAAUCGCCCUCCUUCUUCCAUCCCCAUGAGCAACUAAUAUUUCCAACCCAGAGUUCACCCUUCUCUGAGCUUCUUUAUUUGUUUUACUUCUUACACUAGGCCUAAUCUAUGAAUGACUACAAGGAGGACUUGACUGAGCAGAGUAAUUUAUUGGGGUUUAGUCUAAUUAAGACAAUUGAUUUCGGCUCAAUUAAUCCUGAACUUUCAGGAACACCUACUCUCACAUGCCUACGACAUUAAUUUUUACCUCUUUUUUCCUGGCCUUAUUAGGUCUCUCCCUGCAACGAAAACACCUUCUUUCACUCCUACUAACCUUAGAAAGUAUGGCCCUAGCAUUAUAUGUUUCUACCGCACUAUGAGCCUUAAACAACACAUCCCUCCCAAUUAUAGCAGCCCCACUUAUCAUCUUAACCUUCUCAGCCUGUGAAGCUGGUAUGGGUUUAUCUCUAAUAAUUGCAACAGCUCGCACUCAUAAUACUGACCAACUAAAAGCACUAAACCUACUAAAAUGUUAAAACUCAUCAUCCCUUCAAUUAUACUAAUUCCAAUAACCUUUUUAAUUAACAAAAAAAGCUUACUAUGAACUGCUACAACUUUCUUCAGCUUUUUAAUCGCAGCUCUAUCAACACUUACAUUAAAUAUAGAUGUAGCUGAACAUAAUUCAACCAAUCCCCUUCUAAGCAUUGACCAAUUUUCAUGCCCAUUAAUUAUGCUAUCUUGUUGACUUCUUCCCCUAACUAUCAUAGCCAGUCAAGCACAUAUAAAAACUGAACCAAUUACACGACAAAAGACAAUAAUUUCUCUACUUAUUCUUCUCCAAGUCCUUCUAUGUAUUACCUUCGGAGCCUCCAACCUACUUAUAUUCUAUAUCGCUUUCGAAACUACUUUAAUCCCCACUCUUCUAAUUAUCACUCGUUGAGGUAACCAAAAGGAGCGACUCACAGCAGGCCUAUAUUUCCUAUUCUACACUCUAUCCGCCUCUCUCCCCCUCCUCCUUGCCCUUAUCAUAAUUCAAACUCAUUUAAACUCCUUAUCAAUCUAUAUUAUUCCUCUAUCUAAUCUCACCCUAUUAUUAAACACACCUUGAUCUGAAACCUUAUGAUGAAUCGCCUGUUUCCUGGCCUUUUUAAUCAAAAUACCCCUAUAUAUCUUUCACUUAUGAUUACCAAAAGCUCACGUAGAGGCUCCCAUCGCAGGCUCUAUAAUUCUAGCUGCAAUUCUAUUAAAACUAGGAGGCUACGGUAUAAUUCGUAUAUCAUCUUUAUUUAUUCCACUAACUAAAGAUCUGGCUGUCCCAUUCAUAAUUAUCGCCAUAUGAGGGAUAAUCGUAACUAGUUCAAUUUGUCUACGACAAACAGAUCUAAAAUCUAUAAUCGCUUACUCGUCUGUCAGCCAUAUAGGCCUAGUCGUAGCCGGCAUUUUCACAAUAACUCCAUGAGCAUGAUCUGGGGCUCUUGCAAUAAUAAUUGCCCAUGGAUUAGUAUCAUCAGGUCUAUUUUGUCUCGCUAAUAUUACAUAUGAACGCACUCAUACACGUUCUAUCUUCAUAAACCGAGGUUUAAAAACUUUAUUCCCUCUAAUAUCAUUCUGAUGACUUAUAAUAACUUUCGCCAAUAUAGCACUACCACCAUUCCCAAACUUCAUGGCAGAAAUUUUAAUCAUUACCUCCUUAUUUAACUGAUCAAACUGAACCAUCUUACUACUAGGGCUAAGCAUAACCUUAACUGCCCUUUUCUCAUUAAAUAUACUUAUUAUAACUCAACAUGAACACCCAAAUAAACAUGCACCAGUUAACCCAAGUACCACCCGUGAACACCUACUUAUACUUAUACACAUAGCCCCUAUUAUCCUUCUCAUUGCUAACCCAAGCGCUAUUAUAAUUAGAAGCACGCAUAGUUUAUACAAAACAUUAGAUUGUGAGUCUAAUAAAGAAGGUUAAAAUCCCUCUGCCUGCCGAGAGGGGCAAGGCAGCACUAAGAACUGCUAAUUCUUUUCCCCUGAGGUUCAACUCCACAGCCCUCUCGAGCUUCUAAAGGAUAAGCAGCAAUCCGCUGGCCUUAGGUGCCACCAAUCUUGGUGCAAAUCCAAGUAGAAGCUAAUGAAUUCCCACUACCUAACUUUAAUUAUAAACUCCGGAGCAUUACUCACUAUUAUUGUCCUUCUCCCUCCUAUUAUUAUACCUAAACCAUCAAUAAUUCUCACAACAAAACUAGUAAAAAUCUCAAUAUUUAUUAGCCUUAUCCCACUAACUAUUUAUCUAAACGAAAAUAUAGAAACCACCCUAACUAUAAAGCCCUGAAUAGACUGAGCCCUAUUUAAUAUUGCCUUAUCCUUUAAAAUUGAUAAAUAUACUGUUAUCUUUACCCCUAUUGCUCUAAUAAUUACCUGAAGCAUUAUAGAAUUUUCACAAUGAUAUAUAGCAAAAGAACGUCAUAUAGACAAAUUUUUUAAAUAUCUCCUUCUAUUUUUAAUCACAAUAAUUACAUUCAUCUCUGCAAAUAACCUACUACAACUCUUUAUUGGUUGAGAAGGUGUAGGAAUCAUAUCCUUUCUUCUAAUUAGCUGAUGGUCAGGUCGAACAAAAGCUAAUAUCUCUGCUCUUCAAGCAGUAGCCUACAAUCGAAUCGGAGAUAUCGGGUUAAUAAUAAUUAUAGUAUGAAUAUGUUCUAACACUAACUCUUGAGAUCUACAACAAAUUACAAUACUUCUAUCUGAUCAACAGUACCUUAUUCCAACCUUAGGAUUCUUAAUCGCAGCCACAGGUAAAUCAGCCCAAUUUGGUCUUCAUCCAUGACUUCCUGCAGCAAUAGAGGGCCCAACUCCUGUUUCAGCACUAUUACACUCAAGCACUAUAGUUGUUGCAGGAGUAUUUUUACUAAUUCGACUCCACCCUUUAUUCCAAAACUAUCCAUUAAUAUUAGAAAUAACCCUAUGUCUAGGAGCAAUAACCACCAUUUUUGCUGCCCUAUGUGCAACAACACAAAAUGAUAUCAAAAAAAUUAUUGCCUUUUCUACAUCAAGUCAACUAGGCUUAAUAAUAGUCGCAGUUGGUCUUAACCACCCUCACAUUGCCUUUCUCCACAUGUGUACACAUGCCUUUUUUAAAGCUAUACUUUUCUUAUGCUCAGGAAGUAUUAUUCAUAAUAUAAAUAAUGAACAAGAUAUUCGAAAAUUUAGCUGUUUAAAUAACAACUUACCUCUAACAACAACCUGUAUAACAAUUGGGUCCGCAGCACUAAUAGGCUUACCAUUUCUAGCUGGUUUCUUCACUAAAGACUUAAUUCUAGAAGCCCUAAAUACUUCCUAUACUAAUGCCUGAGCCCUAAUAGUUACUCUUAUAGCCGUUACAUUAACAACUGCCUACAGUUCACGCCUUAUUAUUAUAUCAGCCUCUGGUACACCACGAUACUUACCCCUAACCCCAACACACGAAAAUAAUUUUAUCAAGAACCCAUUAAAACGUUUAGCCUGGGGCAGCCUAAUUUCAGGACUAAUCCUUACAAGUACCCUCCCACCAAUAAAACCUCAAAUUUUUACAAUACCAACCUAUAUUAAAACUAUUGCUCUAAUAAUAUUUAUCAUUAGCCUAAUUAUUUCUAUAGAACUAACCAAUAAAAAAAUUAACCAAACUACAUUCUCCUUCUUUACUCAACUAGCAUUCUACCCCCAUAUUAUCCAUCGUUUAACAUCCCACCUAUCUUUAAUCUGAAGUCAAAAAUUAAUAACACAAGUAAUAGACGUAUCAUGACUUGAAAAAAUCGGACCAAAAGGUUUAGCUAAUCACCAACUUAAACCCUCCACUACACUAACAGAAGCACAUCACCUAAAUUCUGCUACCCUACCUUUAAUAGCCUUUGCCCUAACCUUAAUUACACUAAGUCUCACAGCUCGUAGAGCCCCACGAUUUACCCCUCGAACAACUACCAAAACAGAAAAUAAACAAACUAAUAAAGCCCACCCAGCUAAUACAAGGAUUAACCCAACCUCAUAGAAAGUAGUGACUCCCAACCAUUCAGCUCCAAAAAUCCCCCCAGUAUAAUCUGCCCCUUCACAAGCUACUGACACAUCUAAAAAAAAAUCAUUAAAAGACAUAUAGCCAGCAAAACAAAUACACAAAACACAAAUUACAAAAAAUCAGAUUACCCGACCUCCAAGAACUUCAGGGUAAGGGUCAGCAGCUAAAGCUGCCGAAUACACAAAAACAACCAUCAUACCCCCUAAAUAUAACAGCACUAAAACUAAAGAUAAAAACGUCCCACCAUGGUACAAUACGAUAAAACACCCAGAAACAGCAACAAAUACCAAGCCUAAAGCAGAGAAAUAAGGAGAAGGACUCAAAACAACCACAGCUACCCCCAAUAAAAACAUUACAAAAAAACAUAAGACUAAACUUAACAUAUGCUCUAAAAAAAUAUUACUUUUAUUUUAGAACACCCCCCACCCCCACAACUUCCCCAUUCCUCGCCUAUGCCUAUAUGGCAUAGGUAUAUCUAAUGGCAUAGGUAUAUGCCUAUAUGGCAUAGGUAUAUCUAAUAACAUAGGUACCUACUCCUCCACAUAUCAUUACAACUCAUUGCAUAGGCUUAUCCCAGACUAAGGUACUCCUUUUAUCACUCUUGGCAUACAACUGCUAAGCUCGAUUUCCCGAAGGGUAUACAAGUAUGUUUCACUGAAGACUCACAUCCACCCAGGCAUAGGGCAUAUAUGAUAGACCUUUCCCAGCCUCAAUAAUCUCUCACUCCCGCGGCUUCACGACAACCCCCUUACCCCCUUUGACCCCCUAAGUUCAUUGCUGCCGUCAACCCCCUUAGGAACCGGCGAACUUUGGUCAUUUUUACUUAAACUUAUAAA